rnacentral:rRNA from 1 species
UACGUAGGGGGCGAGCGUUGUCCGGAUUUAUUGGGCGUAAAGAGCGUGUAGGCGGCCAGGUAGGUCUGCUGUGAAAACUCGAGGCUCAACCUCGAGACGUCGGCGGAAACCAUCUGGCUAGAGUCCGGAAGAGGAGAGUGGAAUUCCUGGUGUAGCGGUGAAAUGCGCAGAUAUCAGGAGGAACACCAAUGGCGAAGGCAGCUCGCUGGGACGUGACUGACGCUGAGACGCGAAAGCGUGGGGAGCAAACAGG